AUUUCUAAGGAAGUGACGUAAUUUUGAAGGAAAAACUUAGAGAAAAACUGGAAAAGUGAUGAAAUAUCAAGAGAUGUUUACUCAUCAGAGUCCAAACUGUAAGUGAGGGUUCGAUUCCGGAGAGGGAGCCUGAGAAACGGCUACCACAUCUAAGGAAGGCAGCAGGCGCGCAAAUUACACAAUCCCAGUACGGGGAUGUAGUGACGAAAAAUAACAAUACGGGACUCUAUUGAGGCCCCGUAAUUGGAAUGAGUACAAUUUAAAUCCUUUAACGAGGAUCUAUUGGAGGGCAAGUCUGGUGCCAGCAGCCGCGGUAAUUCCAGCUCCAAUAGCGUAUAUUA
rnacentral:rRNA from 1 species